rnacentral:rRNA from 1 species
UACGAAGGGGGCUAGCGUUGCUCGGAAUCACUGGGCGUAAAGCGCACGUAGGCGGAUUGCUAAGUCAGGGGUGAAAUCCUGGAGCUCAACUCCAGAACUGCCUUUGAUACUGGCGACCUUGAGUCCGGGAGAGGUGAGUGGAACUGCGAGUGUAGAGGUGAAAUUCGUAGAUAUUCGCAAGAACACCAGUGGCGAAGGCGGCUCACUGGCCCGUAACUGACGCUGAGGCACGAAAGCGUGGGGAGCAAGCAGG